GACGUUCCAUUAUAAGGGGAGUGGCCAGCUCCAAGGCAAGUCUGCAAACCGUCAAGUUUUACAUUUCUACAAUAAUGAUAACGUUAAAUAUAAGCAUUAUUUCAUCAACAGUAUACAAUAUCAAUGUAUAACUGUACUUCGCUAUUUUAAACUCGUCAAAGGGAAAAAGAGUUCCACCGGGGUGAAGAGACGGUGGGCAUUUCCCAACGCCCUUCCGGAACCGUAUUUUAACCCUGGGAUUCAGGUCGGACCUCCUUUAUCAGCACACCGUGGCACCCAUCACUGCUGAGGAAUAGACGUAAACAAGACAUUACUUUGAACUGUGACUAUUUACUUGAGAAUGAUAAUGGUUAAAUUAUAACAAUGACUGUUACCACGUAAACUAUGAGGCGUGCACGCAACAUAUAAAACAAUGAUAGCAAAUGUCAAACUGUAUUUCUGCAAUACAGUUACGUAUGGGAUAUAAGAAACAAAAGCUGUGUGUCGCGUCGUCAUUUAUAUUAUGUUUAUAGUGCAAAUUGAGUAAUAACGUGCAUAAAAUUAAAAGGAUAUUUGUUAUGGCCUGUGUACACUUGCACGCGGUAAACUACCGCGUGGCUAGCUUGUGGGCAUGCUGGCAGCAGCAGUUCUGUUGUGCAACAAAGAUCUGGUUAUUAAAUGGGUAAAUAGUUCAAUCUAUUCUCCAUUAACAGUUAAGUAGUGUGCUCUAACCCGCUCUGGUGACAAACGUCGCUGCCCUGUUUCCAAUCGUCCACAUUGCUGCUGGGAGAAUCUAUUCAAAUACAGAGCUGUGAAACCCUGUCUGCAGAUGAAGAGCAAUGGUUCCCAGUCCUGUUCCUGGGGUCUCAAAGGGAUGCCUUGCAACUGGAGAUUUCUUAAACGAUUGCCUACAGUUACUGUGUAGGGCACGGCACAGUUGGGUGACCAGGGCCAUCUGGGACUGUCUCGUGGGGGAUUUCAGGCAUCUGUGAAGGCUACCUGUGUCCUGCAUAACUUCAUGAUGAUGAACAGGAGGGGACCUGCAGCGCUCCGCCGUGUUCCAGAGGAGAGGUCUGCUGCUCUGCAGGAUGUUGCCAGGAUGGGGGCCAACAACGCAGCACAGGAGGCAAUCCGUGUGCAGGAGACCUUCACCUCCUACUUCUUCACAAAGGAUUCUGUUCCCUGGCAACACCACAGACUACACUAUGCACAACCAAAGGCUCUUUUAAGAGCCAUCCACAUUGCAAUAAGAGUAUUCUUCCAUUUACUCAGCUAUGUCAACUGCAGUUAUUAAUUUCAGUUUCUGUUCCUGUGAGUUCUACUUCACAGGUGAGGGUGCUGUUUAGGUAGGUGUGGUGUCUGUACAAAUACAAAACAGGCUCUUUUAAGAGUCACUCAUAUUGAAAACAUUUAGAACAAUUAGACACCCUAUAAGCCACACCUACACAUUUGUCUAUCAAUCUGAUUUAUGUGUUGUGUAGUAAGCAGGCUCCGGUGUAUAACUGGCUCCUUCCACCUUCAAAGAAUAGACAAGAGGACAAACCAUGGAGAAUAGUAAGACACUUCAUUAUUUAUAUAACUACGCUAAAUUGUUUGUACUCAAGUGUCUGCCUCACCCGCUGUUCAGAUAACCUUCGGGCCCAAGGCUGGUUAGGAGACACCUCUAGAGACACUUAUGUAAAACAUUUCACAUUCUCUACUGGUUGAAGUCUCUCAUUUGAUGAAAUACCACACCUAUCCUGUCCUCAGAUGAGUGCAGAUAAAGGAAAUUAGAUAGAUGAACCUAUUUACAUGAUGCAAAGGAAGUGUAAUGUUUUUUUUUUUUAAAUUCUGUUUCUGUAUAUAUGAAUUACAAAUAAGCCCUUUAACUAGUUAAAUCAUGUUUAUAGUCUAUUUGUUACUAUGUGUAACCAUUGAUGUCCCAGGACCAAGAUUGGUAAACACUGUUGAAGUGUAUAAUUGUAAUACAUACAUGCAGACACGGCAUCAUUCAAAGACUGCCCGUUUGAUACUCCUGGUAUUGGAUAUGACUGAAAAAGAAUCUCAGACAUUCAUACCAGAACCGCACCUUUAUUUACCAAGGUAGAGUACAUGAUCAGUGGAAAUAUUAAAUGUACAGGCUACAAUGUGGGGAUCUCAUGCUACAUGUAUAUACGACUUGCAUCCGUGGCACAAAGUUAGAUUAUAUUCUACUCAAUCCAUAGGCUUCAUUGAUGCCAGUCAGACUGUUUUGAAGUUGAUACAACCGGCUAUGAUAGCUUAAGUUCAUAUCUAGGUUCUGAACUAAUAUGUAUCCAAAACGUUUGGGUCCAUACACAGAUCUGCUAGACAGCUACACAUCCAUAGGUAUUCAGGGAUUUUAUCCUCCACUGCACAAUAAACA